rnacentral:tRNA from 1 species
UAUAGGAUGGUCGAUAAUAGACUAUAAACUGUAAAUUUAUACAUGAAUGCAUUUCUCCUAUAA